rnacentral:rRNA from 1 species
UACAGAGGUCCCGAGCGUUGUUCGGAUUCACUGGGCGUAAAGGGUGCGUAGGUGGCAUGGAAAGUUUGAUGUGAAAGCUCAGGGCUUAACCCUGAAAUGGCAUUGAAUACUGCUGUGCUGGAGGUUUGGAGGGGGGACUGGAAUUCUUGGUGUAGCAGUGAAAUGCGUAGAUAUCAAGAGGAACACCAGUGGCGAAGGCGAGUCCCUGGACAACACCUGACACUGAGGCACGAAAGCGUGGGGAGCAAACAGG